UGGCGUGGUGGUGCUAGUUAUUGCUAAGCGUAAUAGUCCAACAUACAUUAAUUUUUUUUCCUUGUUUAAUAUGGCAUGUCUUUAUUAAGCACAGGUUUCACACAACUUUCUUCUAGAAAGUUUUUUUUUGCGAAUAGAAAGGGGUAGGUUAGAGAUUAAUUAAUAUUUUUGUGUGUGUGGAUUAUGAACUGACUGAUUGACCAGUUGAAUUGAAGCAUGCAGUUCUGAUGUGAGAUCAGUGAAUUUGUCCGGACUAUA
rnacentral:lncRNA from 1 species